AACGCACCUUGCGCUCUUUGGUAUUCCAAAGAGUAUGCCUGUUUGAGUGUCAUGAAAUUCUCAAGUCUAUAGAUUUUUUAAAAAUCUGCGUGACCUGGACUUGGAGGUUGUGUCGGCUUUGUCAGUCGACUCCUCUGAAAUGCAUUAGCGCGAACGUUUACGAGUUCAGUGUGAUAAUUAUCUGCGCUGUGAUUGUAACUGUUUCGUGCUUUACCGUCUUUAGAGACAAUUUUUGACAUCUGACCUCAAAUCAGGUAGGACUACCCGCUGAACUUAA
rnacentral:misc_RNA from 1 species